GGAGUUACUAUCGCAAGGAAAAUGCUGCCGAUAUGUACAUGUAGGAUGUGCUACAAAAAGAGCGUUUUUCACUGUAUGUAUGAUUUAUUGUCUUACACAUCGUCGUUCCUCAGUUACCUUCGUACAAUUAUAUCUUACAUCUAAUCUUAUGAAAAGUAUAUUUUAAUAUACUUAACAGUGCGACUUUGAUAGUUGACACAUAAUAUAAAUGAUAAAAUGUGAAUAUUAUUGAAUGAUUUUGUCACUCAUACAACUUUUACUUUGGCUAUUCAAACAAUUGAUUUAAAAUAGUUGAAUUUAUACUUACUGGGAUGUUAUAAUUGCUUAUUGGGAUGUUGAAAUUAUGUUUGUUUUAAAUACAUUUAAUUGAUAUUCCAUAAAUUCAUUUUGUAUGAUUUCAUUGACCUUGACAUUGUUCAAAAUCAUUUUGUAUUGUAUUGAAACUGUAUGUCUAUGACCUAUGUUAUGUGCUAUAUUAACCCAUUGAGUCGCAUUGCACCCUGAUGCACCCUACUUUGAACAGUAUUUUACUCUGUCUAACGCCAGACGAUUUUACUCGUCAAGAGGUGAGUGCUGGAGCUUAAUGGGUUAACUGAUCUAUCUGCCCAUGUGUCUAGUUAACCCAUUGGGUCGCAUUGCACCCUACUUUGAACAGUAUUUUACUCUGUCUAACGCCAGACGAUUUUACUUGUCAAGGGGAGAGUGCUGGCUCUUAAUGGGUUAACUGAUCUAUCUGCCCAUGUGUCUAGUUAACCCAUUGGGUCGCAUUGCACCCUGAUGUACCCUACUUUAGUAUUUUACUCUGUCUAACGCCAGAGUAUUUUACUCUGUCUAACGCCAGACGAUUUUACUCGUCAAGGGGAGAGCGCUGGCGCUUAAUGGGUUAACACGCCCAAAAUCUGUACUAAAACUGCUAAUUCUGUUUUGUGAUUGGCACAGUUUAAUCAAAGAAUCCUCCCGUUGAACCAGAGCCUUCACGAUAUUUCAAUUUAUUAUUAAC